rnacentral:rRNA from 1 species
UACAGAGGGUGCAAGCGUUGCUCGGAUUUACUGGGCGUAAAGCGCGUGUAGGCGGCUUGAUAAGUCUGCUCUGAAAGCCCGGGGCUCAACCCCGGGAGGCGGGUGGAUACUGUCAAGCUCGAGUCCGGAAGAGGAGUGUGGAAUUCCUGGUGUAGCGGUGAAAUGCGCAGAUAUCAGGAGGAACACCGAUGGCGAAGGCAGGUCUCUGGGCCAUAACUGACGCUGAGAAGCGAAAGCAUGGGGAGCGAACAGG